rnacentral:rRNA from 1 species
AACGGUGAAAGAGAGCUUGCUCUCUGGAUCAGUGGCGAACGGGUGAGUAACACGUGAGCAAUCUGCCCCUGACUCUGGGAUAACAGCUGGAAACAGCUGCUAAUACCGGAUACGAGCUGCGAAGGCAUCUUCAGCAGCUGGAAAGAAUUUCGGUCAGGGAUGAGCUCGCGGCCUAUCAGCUAGUUGGUGAGGUAAUGGCUCACCAAGGCGUCGACGGGUAGCCGGCCUGAGAGGGUGACCGGCCACACUGGGACUGAGACACGGCCCAGACUCCUACGGGAGGCAGCAGUGGGGAAUAUUGCACAAUGGGCGAAAGCCUGAUGCAGCAACGCCGCGUGAGGGACGACGGCCUUCGGGUUGUAAACCUCUUUUAGCAGGGAAGAAGCGAAAGUGACGGUACCUGCAGAAAAAGCGCCGGCUAACUACGUGCCAGCAGCCGCGGUAAUACGUAGGGCGCAAGCGUUAUCCGGAAUUAUUGGGCGUAAAGAGCUCGUAGGCGGUUUGUCGCGUCUGCUGUGAAAACCCGAGGCUCAACCUCGGGCCUGCAGUGGGUACGGGCAGACUAGAGUGCGGUAGGGGAGAUUGGAACUCCUGGUGUAGCGGUGGAAUGCGCAGAUAUCAGGAAGAACACCGAUGGCGAAGGCAGAUCUCUGGGCCGUAACUGACGCUGAGGAGCGAAAGGGUGGGGAGCAAACAGGCUUAGAUACCCUGGUAGUCCACCCCGUAAACGUUGGGAACUAGUUGUGGGGNUCCAUUCCACGGAUUCCGUGACGCAGCUAACGCAUUAAGUUCCCCGCCUGGGGAGUACGGCCGCAAGGCUAAAACUCAAAGGAAUUGACGGGGACCCGCACAAGCGGCGGAGCAUGCGGAUUAAUUCGAUGCAACGCGAAGAACCUUACCAAGGCUUGACAUAUACGAGAACGCUGCAGAAAUGUAGAACUCUUUGGACACUCGUAAACAGGUGGUGCAUGGUUGUCGUCAGCUCGUGUCGUGAGAUGUUGGGUUAAGUCCCGCAACGAGCGCAACCCUCGUUCUAUGUUGCCAGCACGUAAUGGUGGGAACUCAUGGGAUACUGCCGGGGUCAACUCGGAGGAAGGUGGGGAUGACGUCAAAUCAUCAUGCCCCUUAUGUCUUGGGCUUCACGCAUGCUACAAUGGCCGGUACAAAGGGCUGCAAUACCGUAAGGUGGAGCGAAUCCCAAAAAGCCGGUCCCAGUUCGGAUUGAGGUCUGCAACUCGACCUCAUGAAGUCGGAGUCGCUAGUAAUCGCAGAUCAGCAACGCUGCGGUGAAUACGUUCCCGGGUCUUGUACACACCGCCCGUCAAGUCAUGAAAGUCGGUAACACCUGAAGCCGGUGGCCCA